rnacentral:misc_RNA from 1 species
UAUCCGUUGGUGAACCAGCGGAGGGAUCAUUAUCGAGUUGUUAACUUAGAAAUUUUAUGCGAUCUUAACACUUGUUGCUUCGGAGCGUAGUUCGGCUCCCUCAAUGACACGCAAACUCUUUGUAUUUAUAAGCAUUUCUGAUUGUCCGUAUGGCAAAAUACAUAUGAAUAAAAACUUUGAAUAAAGGAUGUGUUGGUUCUGGCAUAGAUGAAGAACGCAGGAGAUCGGAAGAUCAUCCGUAUGAACUUCAAUCACGCAUAGCAAACAUGUAGGACGGCC